CCUACGGGAGGCAGCAGUAGGGAAUUUUCGGCAAUGGGGGGAACCCUGACCGAGCAACGCCGCGUGAACGAAGAAGGUAUUCGUAAUGUAAAGUUCUUUUAACAGGGAAGAAAGAGAAAUUAGACGGUACCUGAAGAAUAAGCUACGGCUAACUACGUGCCAGCAGCCGCGGUAAUACGUAGGGAGCGAGCGUUAUCAGGAAUUAUUGGGCGUAAGGGGUGUGUAGAUGGCAAAGUAAGUCUUGUGUAAAAAGGUUGGGCUCAACUCAGUACGGCAAAAGAUACUGCAAAGCUAGAGUAUGACAGAGGCAAGUGGAACUACAUGUGUAGCGGUAAAAUGCGUAGAUAUUUGUAAGAACACCAGUGGCGAAGGCGGCUUGCUGGGUCGAUACUGACACUGAGGCACGAAAGCGUGGGGAGCAAACAGGAUUAGAUACCCCAGUAGUC
rnacentral:rRNA from 1 species